rnacentral:rRNA from 1 species
CAGCAGCCGCGGUAAUACAGAGGGUGCGAGCGUUAAUCGGAUUUACUGGGCGUAAAGCGUGUGUAGGUUGUUGUUCAAGUCAGUUGUGAAAUCCCUGGGCUCAACCUGGGAACUGCUUCUGAGACUGAACGACUAGAGUACGGUAGAGGGUGGUGGAAUUUCCGGUGUAGCGGUGAAAUGCGUAGAUAUCGGAAGGAACAUCAAUGGCGAAGGCAGCCACCUGGGCCUGUACUGACACUGAGACACGAAAGCGUGGGGAUCAAACAGGAUUAGAUACCCGGGUAGUCCCUGUCUCUUAUAC